rnacentral:rRNA from 1 species
GAUGAACGCUAGCUACAGGCUUCACACAUGCAAGUCGAGAGCCCGGCGCACGGGUGAGUAACACGUAUCCCACCUUCCCUUUACUCGGGGCUAGCCUUUCGAAAGAAAGAUUAAUACCCGAUAUAAAGGAUGGAGAUGCGUUCCAUUAGGUUGUUGGUGAUGUAACGGCCCACCAAGCCUUCGAUGGAUAGGGGUUCAGAGAGGAAGGCCCCCCACCUUGGAACUGCAAUACGGUCCAAACUCGUACGGGUGGCAGCAGGGAGGAAUAUUAGUCAAUGGGCGGUAGCCUUAACCAGCCAAGUAGCGUGAAGAAUGAAGGCUUAUGGGUAGUAAACUUCUUUUAUAUAAGAAUAUGUAGUAUAUUAAUCAGGAUCGGCUAACUCCGCGCCAGCAGCCGCGGUAAUUC